CCUACGGGAGUCAGCAGUGGGGAAUAUUGGGCAAUGGGCGCAAGCCUGACCCAGCAACGCCGCGUGAAGGAAGAAGGCUUUCGGGUUGUAAACUUCUUUUGUCAGGGAAGAGUAGAAGACGGUACCUGACGAAUAAGCCACGGCUAACUACGUGCCAGCAGCCGCGGUAAUACGUAGGUGGCAAGCGUUGUCCGGAUUUACUGGGUGUAAAGGGCGUGUAGCCGGGUUGACAAGUCAGAUGUGAAAUCCUGCGGCUUAACCGCAGAACUGCAUUUGAAACUGUUGAUCUUGAGUACUGGAGAGGCAGAUGGAAUGCCUAGUGUAGCGGUGAAAUGCGGAGAUAUUAGGAGGAAAACGAGUGGCGAAGGCGGUCUGCUGGACAGCAACUGACGGUGAGGCGCGAAAGCGUGGGGAGCAAACAGGAUUAGAUACCCCAGUAGUC
rnacentral:rRNA from 1 species